rnacentral:rRNA from 1 species
CGGGCGUGCCUAACACAUGCAAGUCGAACGGAAAUAGCAAUAUUUGAGUGGCGCACGGGUGAGUAACACGUAGCUAAUCUACCUCAAAGCGCGGGAUAACGUGUCGAAAGACAGGCUAAUACCGCAUAAGCUCCCGAUCUGUAGAGGGUUGGGAGAAAAAGGCGCAAGUCACUUUGAGAUGAGGCUGCGGCCCAUCAGCUAGUUGGUGCGGUAACGGCGUACCAAGGCGACGACGGGUAGGGGACCUGAGAGGGUGACCCCCCACACUGGGACUGAGACACGGCCCAGACUCCUACGGGAGGCAGCAGUGAGGAAUAUUGCACAAUGGGCGAAAGCCUGAUGCAGCGACGCCGCGUGGGUGAAGAAGGUUUUCGGAUCGUAAAACCCUUUUCUGUGUGACGAGCAAGGACGGUAGCACAGGAAUAAGUCUCGGCUAACUACGUGCCAGCAGCCGCGGUAAAACGUAGGAGACAAACGUUAUCCGGAGUUACUGGGCGUAAAGGGCGUGUAGGUGGUUUUGUAAGUCUGGCGUGAAAUAUC